UACGGAGGGGGCUAGCGUUGUUCGGAAUUACUGGGCGUAAAGCGCACGUAGGCGGCUUUGUAAGUUAGAGGUGAAAGCCCGGGGCUCAACUCCGGAAUUGCCUUUAAGACUGCAUCGCUAGAAUUGUGGAGAGGUAAGUGGAAUUCCGAGUGUAGAGGUGAAAUUCGUAGAUAUUCGGAAGAACACCAGUGGCGAAGGCGACUUACUGGACACAUAUUGACGCUGAGGUGCGAAAGCGUGGGGAGCAAACGGGG
rnacentral:rRNA from 1 species